CCCGUCAUUUAUUGUCACCGUUGGGGGGGGGUCCGUCCCCCCCUUUUAGGGUUUCUUCGGCCUGGAGGCCUGAGCCAAAGCCCAGAGGGAAUAGCAGGUGCCCACAGAGCAGAUGAGGGUGGUCAGAUGGUACAGAGCUGAGUCCAUCGCCCCCCCUUCAGGUGCACCGGGAGCCCAUUGUCCUCCUGGAAAUGCUUUUGGUGUUCCUGGACCCGGUUGUGGAUCCGCCGGGGGGUGGGGGGGGCCGGGGGGGGGCGCAGCAGUCCCAGAGGAGCGGCCCGCAGGACUCUCAUCCUCCUCCGCUGUCCUU
rnacentral:lncRNA from 1 species